ACGUAGGGGGCGAGCGUUGUCCGGAAUUACUGGGCGUAAAGGGUGCGUAGGUGGCUUGUUAAGUUGGAUGUGAAAUCCCCGGGCUCAACUUGGGUGGUGCAUUCAAAACUGGCGAGCUAGAGUGCAGGAGAGGGAAGCGGAAUUCCUAGUGUAGCGGUGAAAUGCGUAGAUAUUAGGAGGAACACCAGUGGCGAAGGCGGCUUUCUGGACUGUAACUGACACUGAGGCACGAAAGCGUGGGGAGCAAACAG
rnacentral:rRNA from 1 species